AUUUUAACAGACAAUGCAAAAGUUCUGAUAUUGUUAGUAACACUGUUUUUUAAUAUAAAUAUAUAUAGAAAGAUUGAGAAAUUGAAAGCUGAAGCUACCAUGGAAAGGAAUGACUGUGCAUCUCUUAUAGAGGGGAUGGAAGAUCAAGCAAAUGAUGAAAAGUGCUACCCAAUGCUGGUUGUUCUGGCAUAUCUUCUGCCACCGUUGCCUGGAAGUCGCUGCAGUGUUAAAUAUGAAAUUUCAUUCCUUCCAAUUUCCAUUUCGCCUGGAGCCAUAUUGCAUCCCUCUGCAGCAGUUUUGAGACCGCAUCAAAGACCAGACCACAGCCAGUCUACAUUGAGAGUUUGAAGAGCACAACAUGACAAUACAUCAUUGCGACGAUUGACAAAAUGACA
rnacentral:lncRNA from 1 species